GACAGAGGCCCCGAGCGUUAGGCGGAAUCACUGGGCUUAAAGCGUGUGUAGGCGGAUCGUUAAGUGUCUUGUGAAAUCCCACGGCUCAACCGUGGAACUGCUGGGCAUACUGGCGAUCUUGGGCCAUUCAGGGGCGACCGGAACAAGCGGUGGAGCGGUGAAAUGCGUAGAUAUCGGGAGGAACACCGGUGGCGAAGGCGGCCCCCUGGUUGGAUACUGACGCUGAGACGCGAAAGCGUGGGGAGCAAACAGG
rnacentral:rRNA from 1 species